UUCGUAGGCGGUGUGGCAAGUCAGGAGUGAAAUCUCUGGGCUUAACUCAGAGGCUGCUUCUGAAACUGCUGUGCUUGAGUGUGGGAGAGGCGCGUGGAAUUGCAGGUGUAGCGGUGAAAUGCGUAGAUAUCUGCAGGAACACCCGUGGCGAAAGCGGCGCGCUGGACCACAACUGACGCUGAGGAACGAAAGCUAGGGGAGCAAACAGGAUUAGAUACCCUGGUAGUCCUAGCCCUAAACGAUCAGGACUUGGGGUGCCGCCCGUUCGGGCGUCGUCCCGGAGCUAACGCGUUAAGUCCUGCACCUGGGGAGUACGGUCGCAAGACUGAA
rnacentral:rRNA from 1 species